GCCUACGGGAGGCAGCAGUAGGGAAUCUUCCACAAUGGGCGAAAGCCUGAUGGAGCAACGCCGCGUGGGUGAAGAAGGUCUUCGGAUCGUAAAACCCUGUUGUUAGAGAAGAAAGUGCGUGAGAGUAACUGUUCACGUUUCGACGGUAUCUAACCAGAAAGCCACGGCUAACUACGUGCCAGCAGCCGCGGUAAUACGUAGGUGGCAAGCGUUAUCCGGAUUUAUUGGGCGUAAAGGGAACGCAGGCGGUCUUUUAAGUCUGAUGUGAAAGCCUUCGGAUUAACCGGAGUAGGUCAUUGGAAACU
rnacentral:rRNA from 1 species